CCCUGCCCGAAAGUUUUCGUGCAAAACGAAGUGCCGAAUGCUUCUAAAAAGCAAGAACAUCACAACAUAAAAUGCCCUCUCAGUGAUAAAAUAUGUUUUUCUCAAAAACGUGCGUCGAACAUAAAAUCCGUCAAUGUCAUCGGCUCCGAAACAAUCGGACCAUCGAAAAUGAGCUAUUAGAUCAUCCAGAAUAGAGUCCGAUUAGCGUCCAAAACCCACCUCUCUCCUCGGUCAUCCCCGGAAACGCGGGUUACUAUUAACUUUAGGUGAAAAGUAAUAAUCGCGUAAAAAUUUUAUUUUAAAUCUUUUUUUGUUGAGAUUUGACGAGUAAGCCUAAAAUUAAAGACGGUGAAUAAUUCACCGUCUUAUCUGUGUUACAGCACUGCCUCCACAACUUAGACGAUUUAGACAAAUUGUGGUGGGUUGCGGGGGUUUUGCAUUAAAGACGGUGAAUUAUUUAUCGCCUUCAUAACAUAUGUUACAAAGGCGGUGAAAUCAGUCACUGCCUUACUAAAGACGGUGAACAAUUCAUCGUCUUCAUAAGAAAACUCUGACGUGGUGCCUACGCGGUGAAAGAAUGAUUAAUUUUUAAAAUAAAAUUUUAAGAGGCUCAUUUUUCAAAUUG
rnacentral:lncRNA from 1 species